CCUGAAAUGGUCACCAGGCUCUUUUUCUGUGCGGCUUCUUGUCUCCUGUGGACAGGGCAGGUGGAGGCUGGGAUCACCCAGAGCCCAAGAUACAAGAUCGCAGUGAUAGGAGAGACACUGACUCUGCAAUGUCACCAGACUGAUAACCACGACUAUAUGUACUGGUAUCGACAAGACCUGGGGCAUGGGCUGAAGCUGAUCUAUUUCACGUAUGAUGUUAACAAAACUGACAAAGGAGAAAUCCCUGAUGGGUACAGUGUCUCGAGAUCAAAUAUAGGGGAUUUCCCGCUGACCCUGGAGUCUGUUGUCCCCUCCCGGACAUCUGUGUACCUCUGUGCCAGCAGUAACUCCACAGCGCUGCACGGCUGCUUCCUCUCUGCACAUAAAGGGUAGUUAGAAAGACUGACGGUUGGCCGCACUCAGGAGGCUUGGCCCAGCCCCCAGGAAGCUUCUAUCUCCAUCACAGUCCCAGAGCUCUUGCCAACACAGGGGCUGGACAGCAUUGGAAGAUGUGACCCUCCGUGCUUAAGUCCACCCCACGCCAGUCUCAGCCUGACUGCAGGUCACCCUGACACCUCAGCUGGCUGGUUCUCUCUUCUGAGGUCUCUGCUUGCAGAAAGGAAAAUGCAUCUUUAGUUGAGAUACGUGAAGACCCCCUGGAUGACCCCAA